rnacentral:rRNA from 1 species
AACGAACGCUGGCGGCAUGCCUAACACAUGCAAGUCGAACGAGAUCCUUCGGGGUCUAGUGGCGCACGGGUGCGUAACGCGUGGGAAUCUGCCCUUAGGUUCGGAAUAACAGUUAGAAAUGACUGCUAAUACCGGAUGAUGACGUUAAGUCCAAAGAUUUAUCGCCUGAGGAUGAGCCCGCGUAGGAUUAGCUAGUUGGUGUGGUAAAGGCGCACCAAGGCGACGAUCCUUAGCUGGUCUGAGAGGAUGAUCAGCCACACUGGGACUGAGACACGGCCCAGACUCCUACGGGAGGCAGCAGUGGGGAAUAUUGGAAAAUGGGCGCAAGCCUGAUCCAGCAAUGCCGCGUGAGUGAUGAAGGCCUUAGGGUUGUAAAGCUCUUUUACCCGAGAUGAUAAUGACAGUAUCGGGAGAAUAAGCCCCGGCUAACUCCGUG